AGCGUGACGGCGCGAGCAGGUGCGAAAGCAGGUCAUAGUGAUCCGGUGGUUCUGAAUGGAAGGGCCAUCGCUCAACGGAUAAAAGGUACUCCGGGGAUAACAGGCUGAUACCGCCCAAGAGUUCAUAUCGACGGCGGUGUUUGGCACCUCGAUGUCGGCUCAUCACAUCCUGGGGCUGAAGUAGGUCCCAAGGGUAUGGCUGUUCGCCAUUUAAAGUGGUACGCGAGCUGGGUUUAGAACGUCGUGAGACAGUUCGGUCCCUAUCUGCCGUGGGCGCUGGAGAACUGAGGGGGGCUGCUCCUAGUACGAGAGGACCGGAGUGGACGCAUCACUGGUGUUCGGGUUGUCAUGCCAAUGGCACUGCCCGGUAGCUAAAUGCGGAAGAGAUAAGUGCUGAAAGCAUCUAAGCACGAAACUUGCCCCGAGAUGAGUUCUCCCUGACCCUUUAAGGGUCCUGAAGGAACGUUGAAGACGACGACGUUGAUAGGCC
rnacentral:rRNA from 1 species